AUUUUACUUGAUGCCAUGACUUACACUUUAAAUACAUAUUUUAAAUAUGCAUUUUAAGGGAAGUAACAAAAUGAGACUGAUUAGUGUCCUACAGAAAAACUAGGCUUUAAAUUUUCUCUGUCACGUCCUUGCUCAGAUUUUACCAUUUGCUGAAAAACAUGUUGUGUUGAUAGCCAGAGAUCAGAGCAUUCUCUGCCAUUUUUAACUUCUGGCGUGAUCUCUUAAAGAAACAUGACUGGUAAACAGAAUAUUGUGGAUCAUUCCUAAAGCUCCAGCCUAAGGAAGGGAGGAAGGAGAAGCCAAAGAGAGAGAAAAGGAGCCCAAGCAACAACGGGAGGAAAAGGAGGUGAUUUAUCAACACACGAUUGGUGGUUCUUGCAGAAGUUGAGGCAGCAAGAGGAAAGCUUUGUCCCUGGCUUCAGUGUCAACAUUGCCAUCCUUGGGAGAAGAAUCUCCGUUCCAGUCUCUUGCUCCUUGCUUCAUUUCCGUGCCUGUUCCAGGAACUCCAGGUGGAGUUCGUGCUUUGUUACUCUUGGGUAUACCUUGCCUUGUUAACCUUGUUUCCACUACUCCUUAGUGGAUGCUUUCCAUGUGGAUUACAGUUGGUGGAUUUACCGCGCCUUGUUCCUGAUCCUUGCAACCUCUGGUUGUUUACCGAUUUUGACUUCUUGGUGGAACUAUCGAGUUCUGUUUGUGGAUUACAACUUUGAAAGACUUUGUUGGACUAACUAUUGAACAGUUGCAGACUUUACAUUAUGGACUAUUGACUUUACUGGCUUUUUACACU